rnacentral:rRNA from 1 species
UACAGAGGUGCCAAGCGUUGUUCGGAUUUACUGGGCGUAAAGGGUGCGUAGGUGGUGUGGUAAGUCAAAUGUGAAAUCCUGCAGCUCAACUGCAGAACUGCAUUCGAAACUGCCACGCUAGAGUACUGGAGAGGAGAUCGGAAUUCUCGGUGUAGCAGUGAAAUGCGUAGAUAUCGAGAGGAACACCAGUGGCGAAGGCGGAUCUCUGGACAGUUACUGACACUGAGGCACGAAAGCCAGGGGAGCAAACGGG